rnacentral:antisense_RNA from 2 species
CAGAUUUGGUGACAUGUCUCGCACAAGACUGUUACCUCGGUUGUUCAGUUCCCCAACUGCUCAACCGCGAAGAAGCCGCCUCCCCAGGCGGUUUUUUCGC